GAAAACUAUGAGAUACAAUGUGAUACAAGCGUCGCUGUGAUGAAGACAGGCAAUGUGAUAUGGCUCCAAUGAAUGUUUAAAGUAAUGCAGAAACCAAAAGAUAAAAACAAUUUCGAUGAAAAUAACAGGAACUUUGUCAGUAUUUUCGAUGUUAAUUUCAAAGAUAUGGAACUUUUCAAGUGAAUGAACAUUUGCCAGAGGAAAUUAUAUUUUAUUGGACAUUAUAAGUUUAAAACUUCAUGGAAUAUAUUCUAAUGGAUUGCAUGACUUGAACAAUCAUUAUCCUUAAUGUGCAUUUUCAAGGACCGUUACAGAGUUUUCCACACUUGGUUGGAUCGAAAGACCACGUGACAAACAUUACAUUGGAGACUGAGAUUUAUGGUGAAUUAAUGUACUUUUGUGCCAAAUUAUUUACAAGAAUUUUAUUAUAUAAAGCAUAAGAAUUUA